CCCCUUUUACGACAGUCCCGAGAGGGCCUGGCCGCCUGCCCCGCCCUGCCCCGCGCCCCGCCGCCUGCUUAUUCAGGAGGCGCGCCCCGCUCCUCUGCGGAGACUCCAAGGAGGGUUUUGCUCAGCCCAGGCUCGCACCUGCCUGCUCCCCGCGCGACAUUAAAGGCGAGACUCCGCCGUCUGGAUAUCGCAGGACCACGGAGAAUCCCACCGGCCCUUGCUGAGUCAUUGCGGGCCGAGGUCCGGGCUCCGCGCCGGCGCGCCUGCGAGGUGGACUGUCCCGGUCACCGGCCUCCCCAGAGGCAGGGGUCUCGGGCCAGAGCCCACAGGACCUGGGUCUAAGGCACCAUCCGCGGCCGAGCAGUGGCGCUGGGGUCUGUCUGCGUCCUCCCCGCCCCCGGGGUGAGACAGACAGGACCGCCCUAGAGCCUCUGGGUCAGGACAGUCGGAGCCAGAGUCCCCAUCUGGGCCUCCGUGGCCCCCAGCCCGUGAGCCCAGACUGCGCUCUCCCCGCUCCACAGGCCAGCUGCUGGGCCGGGGCUGGGGGGCUUCUGGUGGCUGGGGCUGAACCGUCUAGGAACAGGCUUUAAUAGGAGGGGCUCGGGUGGAGGAAUGGCUCCUGCAAAGGCCCUGCCAGAGUCAGGUCAGGUGGGUGGGCGAGAGGACCAGUGUGGCCAGGCUGCGGAAGCCAGCACAGGAGACAAGGGCGGGUGCUGUGCAUUACAGAGGCUGCUGGGGGCUUGUCCAUAGAGCAGCAGGGGGCACGGAAGGGCUUGGGGACGCAGACACGAUCAGACUUGCAUUUCAUCAGGCACUCUUUAGCUGCCUGCUGGGUGGCUGGGCUGUGUGAGAUGACCCUGCUUUGACCAGGUUAGGAAUUAUGACUGGUUUCCAGAGAGAACAUUGGUUAGUAAUUGGCUAUGGGGAAGAGGGGGCGUUGAGCCAACCAACUGGGGUCCCCCUGAAGUGCCAGCAAAGUGUCUGGUUUUCUCCAGGAUCUGUUUCCUCAGUCCCUGGCAGGAUUGGCUCCCCUGCACGCCAUGUCCUUGUGGUCCCUUCCAGACAGAAACCAGGCAUGAAUAAAGUGAAUAAUGACAAGCGCUCA
ensembl:lncRNA novel transcript